GAUGAACGCUGGCGGCGUGCCUAAUACAUGCAAGUCGAGCGAACAGACGAGGAGCUUGCUCCUCUGACGUUAGCGGCGGACGGGUGAGUAACACGUGGAUAACCUACCUAUAAGACUGGGAUAACUUCGGGAAACCGGAGCUAAUACCGGAUAAUAUAUUGAACCGCAUGGUUCAAUAGUGAAAGACGGUUUUGCUGUCACUUAUAGAUGGAUCCGCGCCGCAUUAGCUAGUUGGUAAGGUAACGGCUUACCAAGGUAACGAUGCGUAGCCGACCUGAGAGGGUGAUCGGCCACACUGGAACUGAGACACGGUCCAGACUCCUACGGGAGGCAGCAGUAGGGAAUCUUCCGCAAAGGGCGAAAGCUUGACGGAGCAACGCCGCGUGAGUGAUGAAGGUCUUCGGAUCGUAAAACUCUGUUAUUAGGGAAGAACAAAUGUGUAAGUAACUAUGCACGUCUUGACGGUACCUAAUCAGAAAGCCACGGCUAACUACGUG
rnacentral:rRNA from 1 species